ACUUUAUAAAUAUGUAUUAAACGCAAGACAGUUUAGCAUAUCCCUUUAAGGUGAAUUAAAGCUAGAAACAUAAAUCGAACUCUUGUUGUGUGGCUAUUAAGUUGAAACAAGAGAUGCUUAUGUGGAAUAGGUUAACCGUAAGACCUUAAGUUAAGAAACUUUAAAAUUGAGCUUAGUAGUUUUAGAAUUAUUAAGUUGCGGUUGC
rnacentral:ncRNA from 1 species